rnacentral:rRNA from 1 species
CCUACGGGAGGCAGCAGUGGGGAAUAUUGGACAAUGGGGGCAACCCUGAUCCAGCCAUGCCGCGUGUGUGAAGAAGGCCCUCGGGUUGUAAAGCACUUUCAGUGAGGAAGAACGCCUGGUGGUUAAUACCCAUCAGGAAAGACAUCACUCACAGAAGAAGCACCGGCUAACUCCGUGCCAGCAGCCGCGGUAAUACGGAGGGUGCGAGCGUUAAUCGGAAUUACUGGGCGUAAAGCGCGCGUAGGUGGCUUGAUAAGCCGGUUGUGAAAGCCCCGGGCUCAACCUGGGAACGGCAUCCGGAACUGUCAAGCUAGAGUGCAGGAGAGGAAGGUAGAAUUCCCGGUGUAGCGGUGAAAUGCGUAGAGAUCGGGAGGAAUACCAGUGGCGAAGGCGGCCUUCUGGACUGACACUGACACUGAGGUGUGAAAGCGUGGGUAGCAAACAGGAUUAGAUACCCUGGUAGUC